GAGGUUUGUGGAAAAAAAUAAAUAAAAACAAUAGUAAUACAGAAAAAAAAAUGGGGGCAGCUUCAUCUUUCUCCAUAUUCACGUUAGUUUGAAAGAAAAAGGGAAGAGUAACUCCACAACAUUUCCUUUCUUUUUUUUUUUUCUUCCAUUGCAAUGACUAUCGUAUCCAGAAUUAGGGAGCUGAUCGACUGCAUGUUCUGCUACCGUAGGAGUGUUCUAAGUGAAGCUAUUCUCUUCUUCUUUCACAUAUGCGCUAAAGGAGAGGGAGAAGAACUCGGUGGCAAGG